AGAGUUUGAUCCUGGCUCAGAACGAACGCUGGCGGCAGGCUUAACACAUGCAAGUCGAACGCACCGCAAGGUGAGUGGCAGACGGGUGAGUAACGCGUGGGAACGUGCCCUUCAGUUCGGAAUAACCCAGGGAAACUUGGGCUAAUACCGGAUACGUGCGAGAGCAGAAAGAUUUAUCGCUGAAGGAUCGGCCCGCGUCUGAUUAGCUAGUUGGUAGGGUAAUGGCCUACCAAGGCGACGAUCAGUAGCUGGUCUGAGAGGAUGAUCAGCCACAUUGGGACUGAGACACGGCCCAAACUCCUACGGGAGGCAGCAGUGGGGAAUAUUGGACAAUGGGCGCAAGCCUGAUCCAGCCAUGCCGCGUGAGUGAUGAAGGCCUUAGGGUUGUAAAGCUCUUUCAGCGGGGGACGAUAAUGACGGUACCCGCAGAAGAAGCCCCGGCUAACUUCGUGCCAGCAGCCGCGGUAAUACGAAGGGGGCUAGCGUUGUUCGGAAUCACUGGGCGUAAAGGGCACGUAGGCGGCUUGAUAAGUCGGGGGUGAAAGCCUGUGGCUCAACCACAGAAUUGCCUUCGAUACUGUCUGGCUUGAGACCGGAAGAGGUAAGUGGAACUGCGAGUGGAGAGGUGAAAUUCGUAGAUAUUCGCAAGAACACCAGUGGCGAAGGCGGCUUACUGGUCCGGUUCUGACGCUGAGGCGCGAAAGCGUGNNNAGCAAACAGGAUUAGAUACCCUAGUAGUCC
rnacentral:rRNA from 1 species